ensembl:lncRNA
GAGACGUGGCCAUAGCCGACCAAGACGGCUCCCUGGAGCCCUGGGCUCCUCGCUGGCCCCCACCAUGCCCAGAGAGCAGCGGCAGUGUUCCGGGGGCACCAGCACCGGCCCCAGCCCUACCCCUCCAAAACUGGGCUGUCCACAAACGGCAUCUUGGGCUGGGGCAAUGCGGGACUCUGAAGCUGACGGACCGCCAAAGGGUUGCACUGUCAAAGCUUUGGGCUGGGAAAUGUGGGCUGGGGGGUGGGAAAUGGGUGGGGAGGGAAUGGUUGCAGGGUGGGGGGAGGGAAUUUGGGGUGGGAACUCUUUGGGUGGGAACUUGGGGUGGGAAUUCUUGGGGUGGGAACUUGGGGUGGAAACUCUUGGGGCACUGGGAUCUUUCUGAGGUUGGAAAUGAAAUGGCUGUACUCUGAUGUUGUUGGGGUGGGAAUUUGGGGGGUGGGGAACUGCUGGGGCGAGAAAUGGCUGCCGUGGGAGAUGGUUGGCAUCAAAAAUGAUUGGACUCCGUAACUGCUGGCAUUGAAGAUGGGGGGAGGGGGAGGGAAUUCUGUGGGGUGGCAAUUCUGGGGGAGAAAUUGUACUCUGAUCACGUUACACUCCCAAGUUGUUGGAAUUUGGAGGAAGGAAUUGUUGGGGUGGGAAUGUGGGGGGCUGGGAGGUAUUUUGCAGAGGGAGGGAACUACUGGUGGGAGGGAGCGGGGGGGGGAGGAGGGUGGGUGGUGGGAAAUUGAUUGCGGGGUGGGAGCUGGGGGGUGGGAAAUUGAUUAGAGGGUGGGAAUUUUAGGGGGUGGGAUCAGAAACAAUUGUUAGGGUGGGAAAAGGUUGGGAAUAUCAUCAUUUAUUUGCUGUUUUGUACGUUAAAUUAUUAAACGUGUAGGAAAGUGAACGCCAAAC